UCACAAAAAUAAAAUAGAAAGUGGAGGUAAAACGUAAAUAAAUUCAUACCGUGACUAAUCGCAAUCCUGACUAAGCAUCACUCAGCGACGACUUUUUUCACACAGAUGAAAUGUGGUGUUAAACACAUUCACAGAGCCGUAACUGGUUGCAACAUCUGUUUUCAUUGUGCCACCGAUCAUUGCCGACAUAUAUUAGUGCAAAAUAAGCAAUUAUAAGUUGUGCAAACUCGUAAAAUACAAUUUUUACAUAGCUGUUAGUUGCCAGCAGUCCACAUUGAGUGAGUAUAUUUUACAGUAAUUUUUUUUUCCCGUAUACGUGCAUACAAUAUGUUUUAUUAUAUAUUAAUUUUACAUUUCAGUUACCUACCCUAUGUUCUUGAGAAGAAAAAAAAAAUGCAUAUUAAGUAAUCAUAUCAUUCAGGCGAAGGUACAUAAGACGUUUGCAAGUGCAAAGUUCACUUCCCUGUACAAAAAUGAUCACCGUGCACCAUGUACACGCCGUAGGGUGCACCUAUUGCCAGAAGGCCAUACCCACAAGGCCUCCAGACAUGGCGCACCCAUAACGCAUCAUGGCCGGUGACCCAAGAGAGACCAGGAAUACUCAAUUUAAGCUGUGAGAAUACACUACACACAUUACAUACACAUUAGCCUCACGCAUUGUCAUAAAACUACAGUAGUAUGCUAAGUGGGCGAUAUAAAUAAGAUUUAUAUCCGUUUCUUAUUGAUAUAAUUUAAAAUUUAGAUAAUAGAAAUAUUUGCCUUCGUCA